rnacentral:rRNA from 1 species
GAUGAACGCUAGCUACAGGCUUAACACAUGCAAGUCGAGGGGAAACGACAUCGAAAGCUUGCUUUUGAUGGGCGUCGACCGGCGCACGGGUGAGUAACGCGUAUCCAACCUGCCCAUCACUUGGGAAUAACCUUGCGAAAGUAAGACUAAUACCCAAUGAUAUCCCACGAAGGCAUCGGAAUGGGAUUAAAGAUUUAUCGGCGAUGGAUGGGGAUGCGUCUGAUUAGCUUGUUGGCGGGGUAACGGCCCACCAAGGCAACGAUCAGUAGGGGUUCUGAGAGGAAGGUCCCCCACAUUGGAACUGAGACACGGUCCAAACUCCUACGGGAGGCAGCAGUGAGGAAUAUUGGUCAAUGGGCGAGAGCCUGAACCAGCCAAGUAGCGUGCAGGAAGACGGCCCUAUGGGUUGUAAACUGCUUUUAUAAGGGAAUAAAGUGGGUCACGUGUGACUUUUUGCAUGUACCUUAUGAAUAAGGACCGGCUAAUUCCGUG